rnacentral:tRNA from 1 species
UAGCCUUGUGGUAAGGCUCUGGAUUGCCAAUCCAGAGACGGCGGGUUCGAUUCCCGU